rnacentral:sRNA from 1 species
UAUCCCCAUUGACACCCUCCUGCCUGCCACCAAAAGGACCAUCGUGAAGAGCGGUACGGGUUCAACGUCAAUCUUCAGGCUGGAGGACUCCAUAAUAAAUCAUUUUUUAAAUAAC